CUGACUGGGCCCUCAGUCAGGAGGUUUGACGUACUACUCUGUGCUACACGCCCUGAAAUGUUCUGUUGCUACAGUUACUGAACAAAAACUAAACAUUUAUUUUCACUGAACUGAAAGUCAGGAAAUCAGAGCUGAGCAGAGAGCAUUUCCUCUUUCCUGUGUGAGCUGAGCAUGAGGGGAAAUGAGUGAGUACACCUUAACCCAAGUGCACGGACAAAACAUAACAAAACCAUUUACUAAAAGUAAAGGAAGACUAGCAGUUUUAAAUUUCCAAAUUGACACCCGCACUGCCACUGUAACCCACUCACCAAUCAGGGGGAUUAAAGAUUAACAAGUGGCCUUGGUUUCAACCAACAACCCAUCAAACCGCAGAAAGAAGGAAAGCUUGGAAUUUGCUGUAUAAAAUUAUGACUACAGAAACUUGAGGUUGGUUUUCUUCUCUGGGGUCAGCCAGUGUACCAUGUGAUCACACAACCGCUCCGCAACCACCUGGGUGUGUCUUCGGGGAUCUUCCGUACUCCCUGAACCCUACUUGGUGGGUCUCUGCCUUAACGUUGAGGCGGUGGAGAAUGGCCAUCUUGUAACUGGCGACCCUCCCCAAUCAGGCAGGGUCCCGGCUGGCUUGCCCAGAGCUCCCGUGGCCAUGAUGAGGUGGCAUCCAGCUGCUCAAACGCAACCAGGUCUGCCUCUGGGUCAUCAGAAUUAUUGUUAAAUCUGCAAGGCUUUGUCAAUUCUUGGUUGCAAACCCUUUAGAACUUGGCACCAUCAUCCUGCAGUGUUUUAAACUAACUAGGAUUCCCGUUUCCUAAGGGUAAUUUGCAAAGGGAGGACUGAAGUGCCUUCGCAACCAACACAGAGAACGAAGAAGGCCCACAUCCCUCACAAGAGGAUACCUCUCAAGUCAAUAGCUCAUCCAAUCAGAUCGGCUGGUUUUGUGUAAAGCAAAUAUUGAAUAAAUGAAUUUCUUUGAACGCUAUGUGUAUUUACAAAACACGUGUGCUUAUGUACAGUACUGUGUUUGACUGGAAGUAGCUGCGGGAUUCUGGGAAUUCAAUGACUUUACUGGCCAUUCACUCACUAAGAUCCUUGCUCCUUCCCUCCUCCUGUGCUUUUCCAGUAACGUUAGUCAUGAAUUGCAAGUGCAAUACACCGAUAAGCCCCCUUACACUGAAGUUUUAUUUCAUUUGCUAUUAAUUUAAAGGCUGAUUACCAGAUAAAGCCUGAA